rnacentral:rRNA from 1 species
AUCCUGGCUCAGGAUGAACGCUAGCGACAGGCUUAACACAUGCAAGUCGAGGGGCAGCACGGGAGUAGCAAUACAACUGGUGGCGACCGGCGCACGGGUGAGUAACGCGUAUGCAACCUACCUAUCAGAGGGGAAUAACCCGGCGAAAGUCGGACUAAUACCGCAUAAAACAGGGGCACCGCAUGGUGAUAUUUGUUAAAGAAAUUCGCUGAUAGAUGGGCAUGCGUUCCAUUAGGUAGUUGGUGAGGUAACGGCUCACCAAGCCGACGAUGGAUAGGGGAACUGAGAGGUUGGUCCCCCACACUGGUACUGAGACACGGACCAGACUCCUACGGGAGGCAGCAGUGAGGAAUAUUGGUCAAUGGGCGGGAGCCUGAACCAGCCAAGUCGCGUGAAGGGAAAAGAAGGAUCUAUGGUUCGUAAACUUCUUUUGCAGGGGAAUAAAGUGCAGGACGUGUCCUGUUUUGUAUGUACCCUGAGAAUAAGGAUCGGCUAACUCCGUGCCAGCAGCAGC